rnacentral:rRNA from 1 species
UGAAGCUGGAAUUGCUAGUAAUGGCAGGUCAGCAUACUGCCGUGAAUACGUUCCCGGGCCUUGUACACACCGCCCGUCACACCAUGAGAGUUGGAAAUACCCGAAGCCUGUGAGCUAACAGUAAUGAGGCAGCAGUCGAAGGUAGAGCCAAUGAUUGGGGUGAAGUCGUAACAAGGUACC